rnacentral:tRNA from 1 species
CGCCGGGUGGCGGAGGCGCAGCAGUCGCUGGCGACGGCCGCCGCCCGUCCGGCGCCGGUCCCGGCGG